UACAGAGGGGGCAAGCGUUGUUCGGAAUUACUGGGCGUAAAGGGCGCGUAGGCGGCCCGCUAAGUCGAACGUGAAAUCCCCAGGCUUAACCUGGGAACUGCGUCCGAUACUGGCAGGCUUGAAUCCGGGAGAGGGAUGUGGAAUUCCAGGUGUAGCGGUGAAAUGCGUAGAUAUCUGGAGGAGCACCGGUGGCGAAGGCGGCAUCCUGGACCGGCAUUGACGCUGAGGCGCGAAAGCUAGGGGAGCAAACGGG
rnacentral:rRNA from 1 species